rnacentral:tRNA from 1 species
GGGGAUGUAGCUCAGUGGUAGAGUGUUGCCUACUAUGUGUGAGGCCCUGGGUUCAAUCCCCAGCACCACA